rnacentral:misc_RNA from 1 species
GAUGAAGAACGUAGCGAAAUGCGAUAAGUAAUGUGAAUUGCAGAAUUCAGUGAAUCAUCGAAUCUUUGAACGCACAUUGCGCCCCCUGGUAUUCCGGGGGGCAUGCCUGUCCGAGCGUCAUUACAACCCUCAAGCUCAGCUUGGUAUUGGGCCCCGCCGCUCCGGCGGGCCCUAAAGUCAGUGGCGGUGCCGUCCGGCUCCGAGCGUAGUAAUUCUUCUCGCUCUGGAGGUCCGGUCGUGUGCUCGCCAGCAACCCCCAAUUUUUUUCAGGUUGACCUCGGAUCAGGUAGGGAUACCCGCUGAACCUAAGCAUAUCAAUAAGCGGAGGA